rnacentral:miRNA from 1 species
GCACGUGAUGAGAACUCUGU